GAUGAACGCUGGCGGCGUGCCUAAUACAUGCAAGUUGAGCGAACAGGCGAGGAGCUUGCUCCUUUGACGUUAGCGGCGGACGGGUGAGUAACACGUGGGUAACCUACCUAUAAGACUGGGAUAACUUCGGGAAACCGGAGCUAAUACCGGAUAAUAUUUCGAACCGCAUGGUUCGAUAGUGAAAGAUGGCUUUGCUAUCACUUAUAGAUGGACCUGCGCCGUAUUAGCUAGUUGGUAAGGUAACGGCUUACCAAGGCAACGAUACGUAGCCGACCUGAGAGGGUGAUCGGCCACACUGGAACUGAGACACGGUCCAGACUCCUACGGGAGGCAGCAGUAGGGAAUCUUCCGCAAUGGGCGAAAGCCUGACGGAGCAACGCCGCGUGAGUGAUGAAGGUCUUCGGAUCGUAAAACUCUGUUAUUAGGGAAGAACAAACGUGUAAGUAACUGUGCACGUCUUGACGGUACCUAAUCAGAAAGCCACGGCUAACUACGUG
rnacentral:rRNA from 1 species